rnacentral:rRNA from 1 species
GGAUGCGAUCAUGCCAGCACUAAAGCACCGGAUCCCAUCAGAACUCCGAAGUUAAGCGUGCUUGGGCGAGUGUAGUACUAGGAUGGGUGACCUCCUGGGAAGUCCUCGUGUUGCAUUCC